AUAGCAAUGCUGCUUAGAUUAUCUUUAUGAUUGUGAGCUUGAAAGAUUUCUUGACCUAUCUCACGAAUGUGCGUAGAGAUGACUACAAAACACCCUCGUGAGAAACCAAUCAUAAUGUAGCCAUCACCAUACCAUCUGUAGGUUACAAUACUGCCAUAAGGCUGCUGAAAUUUCAGAUCAAUUGGGUUAUCAGGAUCAUUCAAAUUAAAAAGAAAGAGAGUCUUCUUGCCAACCACUACACUUACUGUGCUUUCCCUGGUUGAUAUUCUUUCAUCAGUCUUCAUAACUGAGAACUGCAUAUCACUGGGAUCUGAACUCACUGAGGUCUGUCUUAUAGUAUCCCCUUCCUGAUUGCUUAUAGUAAUCAUUUUGUC
rnacentral:lncRNA from 1 species